ACCCGCCGCGGAAGAUGAAGAAAAGCGGCCGGGGGGCGGAGCAAGGCAAGGAAGCGGAAGCGGGGCGGCUGUCGGCAUCCGCUGCGCGUGCUGCCUCUGUCCCACGUGUACGAGUUGCUACAAUGGAAGUCAAAGGGAAAAAGCAAUUCACAGGAAAGAGUACAAAGACAGCACAAGAAAAAAACAGAUUUCAUAAAAAUAGUGAUUCUCGUUCUUCAAAGACAUUUCCAAGAAAAGUUGCUAAAGAAGGCGGACCUAAAAUCACAUCUAGGAACUUUGAGAAAAGUAUCACAAAACCUGGGAAAAAGGGUGUGAAGCAGUUCAAGAAUAAGCAGCAAGGGGACAAAUCACCAAAGAACAAAUUCCAGCAGGCAAAUAAAUUCAACAAGAAGAGGAAAUUCCAGCCAGAUGGUAAAAGCGAUGAAUCAGCAGCCAAGAAGCCCAAAUGGGAUGACUUCAAAAAGAAGAAGAAAGAACUGAAGCAAAGCAGACAACUCAGUGAUAAAACCAACUAUGACAUUGUUGUUCGGGCAAAGCAGAUUUGGGAGACUUUAAGAAGAAAAGACUGUGACAAAGAAAAAAGAUUAAAGUUAAUGAGUGAUUUGCAGAAGUUGAUUCAAGGGAAAAUUAAAACUAUUGCAUUUGCACAUGAUUCAACUCGUGUGAUCCAGUGUUACAUUCAGUAUGGUAAUGAAGAACAGAGAAAACAGGCUUUUGAAGAAUUGCGAGAUGAUUUGGUUGAAUUAAGUAAAGCCAAAUAUUCCAGAAAUAUUGUUAAGAAAUUUCUCAUGUAUGGAAGUAAACCACAGAUUGCAGAGAUAAUGAGAAGUUUUAAAGGCCACGUGAGGAAGAUGCUGCGGCAUGCAGAAGCAUCAGCCAUCGUGGAGUACGCGUACAAUGACAAAGCCAUUUUGGAGCAGAGGAACAUGCUGACGGAAGAGCUCUAUGGGAACACGUUUCAGCUUUACAAGUCAGCAGAUCACCCAACUCUGGACAAAGUGUUAGAGGUACAGCCAGAAAAAUUAGAGCUUAUUAUGGAUGAAAUGAAACAGAUUCUAACUCCAAUGGCCCAAAAGGAAGCUGUGAUUAAGCACUCACUGGUGCAUAAAGUAUUCUUGGACUUUUUUACCUAUGCACCCUCCAAACUCAGAUCAGAAAUGAUUGAAGCCAUCCGCGAAGCGGUGGUCUACCUGGCACACACACACGAUGGCGCCAGAGUGGCCAUGCACUGCCUGUGGCAUGGCACGCCCAAGGACAGGAAAGUGAUUGUGAAAACAAUGAAGACUUAUGUUGAAAAGGUGGCUAAUGGCCAAUACUCCCAUUUGGUUUUACUGGCGGCAUUUGAUUGUAUUGAUGAUACUAAGCUUGUGAAGCAGAUAAUCAUAUCAGAAAUUAUCAGUUCAUUGCCUAGCAUAGUAAAUGACAAAUAUGGAAGGAAGGUCCUAUUGUACUUACUAAGCCCCAGAGAUCCUGCACAUACAGUACGAGAAAUCAUUGAAGUUCUGCAAAAAGGAGAUGGAAAUGCACACAGUAAGAAAGAUACAGAGGUCCGCAGACGGGAGCUCCUAGAAUCCAUUUCUCCAGCUUUGUUAAGCUACCUGCAAGAACACGCCCAAGAAGUGGUGCUGGAUAAGUCUGCGUGUGUGUUGGUGUCCGACAUUCUGGGAUCUGCCACUGGAGACGUUCAGCCUGCCAUGGAUGUCAUCGCCAGCUUGGCAGCAACAGAACUGCAUCCUGGUGGCAAGGAUGGAGAGCUUCACAUUGCAGAACAUCCUGCAGGACAUCUAGUUCUGAAGUGGUUAAUAGAGCAAGAUAAAAAGAUGAAAGAAAAUGGGAGAGAAGGUUGUUUUGCAAAAACACUUGUAGAGCAUGUUGGCAUGAAGAACCUGAAGUCCUGGGCUAGUGUAAAUCGAGGUGCCAUUAUUCUUUCUAGCCUCCUCCAGAGUUGCGACCUAGAAGUUGCAAACAAAGUCAAAGCUGCACUGAAAAGCUUGAUUCCUACAUUGGAAAAAACCAAAAGCACCAGCAAAGGAAUAGAAACUCUACUUGAAAAACUGAGCACAUAGGUGGAAAGAGUAUUUUCUUUUGACUUCCUAUUACAGGAAAUGCAGAUGAAGAACUUUUACCAUCACUGUUCCCCACUACUCUUCCCUCCCUUCCCAAUAGAAUUGCAUCAUGUAUGAUGAAAUCAGUGUUCAGGGUUUACCUUAUUUUACCUACAUAAAUGUUGUUAAAUAUUGAUUCAAGUAGUGAGCAGCCAUUACAUUUCCUCUACUAUUUUAAUUUUUCUGGAAUUAGUGAUUUAUUUUCAUUUGCUUAGUUUCUACAUCUCUGUUGAUUUUUCCUAAAUUUUACAUCAGAAUUGCUUAAAUUCUUCUCUUGAAGGCACCCUUAGCAAUUACCCAGCAGCCAUUUUCCUCUUUUUUUUAGCCCACCAAGGCUUCUGUGUUAAUCUGGUGUCUGCUCCUUUCCACGUGGCUUAAAUAUGUAACUGACAUAAAUCAGUGUUUCUCUAGUGAGUUGUGAAUGUGUUGAGAUUUUGACAACCUCAUGCAUUACCCCACCCAGCUGUACACCUGUUGCGCUUGUGCGUCCUAUGCAGAAGAGCACUGGUAUGACCAAAUCCUGAGGGCCCAUUUCUUAAAUCAGUGAUGGAUUUAGGAAGGAGCCUGACCAGUGAAACUUGGAAGAGAGAUGGUAUUCCUGGGAGGGGUUUCUUAGGUCUCUUGUGUUGUAGAGAGAGUCUCCUUCUUGCCUGUCAGCUUUGGUACGUGCAGGACUAGGCCCACCCUGCAAGCUAGAAGCCUGACAGGAAAUAGCAAAUACGCCGAGGAUGGCUGAGCAAAGGUUUGUGAAAAGAGUCUGGAACUUUGGUGAUGUUGAGCUAUUGAAUAAGUUAACUCCUGGAGCUGCGCUAGCCCUGGACUUCUGGUUAUGUGAGAGAAUAAAUCCCAAUUUUUCAUUUUAGGUCAGUUUUGAGUUGGAUCUUUUGUAACUUGCAGCCAAAAGUAUGCUAAGCUGACUGUCUCUAAAUACCAAUUUCCACACUAUCCAACAUGUCAAGUGGGCAAGCAUUUCCACCUUCUCCUGGAGACACCCCUCUUGGCUUUUGGGAUGUCCUGAAGAACUGCUGCUCCUCCAUCAUCAUCAUCAUCUGCCUGUAGUUUCUCUCCUAUGAAAAGUCUAGUUCUCAGAUCCCAUGCAUCUCUUUCUUGCUUAACACCCUUUUCUCGAUACGGCACAUCCUCUAGUAGCUUCCUGAGAAAAUACAUUCUAAAGACCUUGCAAGUCCGAAUGUCUUUAUUCUACUCUCAAACCCAGAUGUCUAAUUUAGCUGGAUAUAGAAUUCUAGUUUAAAAUUAAUUUUGCCUUAGAAUUUGAAGAUGCUCGUCAAUAUUGUCUUUAGAUUGCAAAGUUGUAGAAGUUUAAUGUCCAGUGCCAUCCUUAUUCUCAAUCUUUACAUGCGGCCUUUAAGUCUCCAGCUUUCUCGUAUUUCAGGAUCGUGUGCAUUGGAAUGUGUUAGGUAUAUUUUCAUUUCACUCUUUAUGCUAGGCACUUGGUGAACCAUUUUAGUCAGAAGAGCCAAAUCCUUUCAUCCUGGGAGAUGUUUUUCCAUGUUUUUUUUCUGAUUUUUUUCAUGUACCCCCUACCCGCUGUUUUCUCUUUUCUUUCUCUUUGGAGCUAUCACUGGGAGUUGAAAUGAUUUGAGUGUCUGAUCGUCUUACUUUUCCCUAUUUUUAAUAUUUUUGUUUUUUUGCUUUGCUUUCUGAGUGAGAUAUUUUCUCUACCUUCUCUGCCAGCCUUUCAUGUUUUGGGUUUUUUGUUUGUUUGUUUGUUUUUUGAGACAGGGUCUUGUCACCUAGGCUGGAGUGGCAGCUGUGCAACUUGAGCUCACUGCAACCUCUACCUCCUUGGCUCAAGUGAUCCUCCCACCUCAGCCUCCCAAGCAUCAGGAAAUACAGGCGUGCACCACCAUGUCUGGCUAAUUUUUGCAUUUUUUGUGAGACGGGGUUUUGACGUGUUGCCUAGGCUAGUCCUGAGCACAUGAGCUACCAUGCCUAGCCACUCCCAGCCUUUUCAUUAAAGUGUCCUUUUUUUAUUUAUUGUAUGCAUUAUCUCUUACUUUUCCUGGUGAUACCCAAUUUUAUGGUUAGUUGUUUUGUUUUACUUUCUUUUCUGGUCAUCUGCUCUUUAUGUUUGCUUUGGGCUCUGUUUGAGACUUUCCUGGAGAGGUCUUUAGCUCUCUUAAAUAUUUAAGACAUUUAAAAUCUUAAAACCGAUGAGGAAGAGGGCAUUCUUUUAUUCUCUAAUGUUGACUUUACUGUACCAGUGAUUAGUUGUGGAUCCUGCUGUUUCACUGGGGUCCUCCAGAUGUCAGUAUCUGUAGGCCUUUCCUCUAGGCCAUUCAGUGCCUCCAGAGAGAAAUCCACCUGCAGCCAGCAUUCAGUUGCUCAAUAGUCAGUGUGCAGAUUUUAGUUAACCUACCUGCUUUCAGCACAGUGCCUCUCCCUCAUGCCCUCUCGUAUCUGGGGCCCCCUAGUCUUGAGAAAAUGAGUCAACGUAAGUUCACAAAGCACAUCCUCAGCCUGCUGCCAGGGUUGGGAGUGGUAGUCAAGCAGUUUGGGCCAAUCCCCCUGUUUUCCAUUCCAAGGCUCACCCCAGCGUUCUCCAGUACCUGGCACCUCUAGCUGCCGGAAUUUUCUGGUCUAUCAUGGUGAGAAUUGACUCGCUCCUCUCCAUGCACUAGGUAUUCCGCUUUCACAGUUCUGCGGCCUUCUCAACUGCUUCCUGUUCUUGCAGAUACUUGGUGCUAUCUCACACCCACUGUGGCUUCUCUGUUUACUUUUUUCCUGUGAAUUUAUACAAUUUUAUUUUUCUAGUCUUAUCUUACUCUUUCUGUAAGGAACAGAGAUAAACUCAACAAUGCACCAUUUUUAAGCAGAAAUCCACAAAUGGCUUUAAACAGACUGAAAACAACCUACCUGGCUUCAUGGUGGUCUUCUUUUUCGUGGAUGAACUUAGCAGAUCUGAGAAUGUCUUUUCUUUGAAAAUUCAGCUUAUUGUAUUUUCAAUUUGCAUCAAACCCUGCUUUUCCUAGGAAUCAGCUGAUGUUAGAAGGAAGGAGAACUCAAUUUUCCCUUUAAGUCUGGUGUAAUAAGCACUUGCAUAACAGAAUAAAGGCCUCUUAGAGGAAAUGGCUUCCUACCUGACCAAACUAAAAAGAUUUGCUCUUGAAAACAUGAGAUGGCACUUCUGUUUCUAUAUCAGUGAAAAUUUGAAAAAGUUACAUCUUAAUUUUAGCAGAUUAAUCACUUUCAAGUCUUGCAAAUUUAUAUAUAUAUGUAUUUGGAAUAAUGGUUAAGAGAACGCAAGAUCACAAAACAGCAGCAGUUAGUAUGGAACCCAUAAUCAGACUAUUUCUAGGCCAAAAUUAAUGACGUAAACAAACAAAAAUUUGAGACUUGAGCUCUUGUCUUACCUUUUGAUAGUGCUUAACCUAAGGAAACUAAAUUUAUGAUCAUCUUCAUCUUUUCUGAACCUAAAAACACCACCACCAAAGUGCCCCAAGUCCCGUAACUUCUUCCCCAAAUGCAUUAGUAAAUUUUUUUUUUAAGACAGAGUCUUGCUCUGUCGCCCAGGCUGGAGUGCAGUGGCGUGAUCUCAGCUCACUGCAAGCUCUGCCUCCCGGGUUCACGCCAUUCUCCUGCCUCAGCCUCCUGAGUAGCUGGGACUACAGGCGCCCACCACCACGCCCAGCUAAUUUUUUUUUAUUUUUAGUAGAGACGGAGUUUCACCGUGUUAGCCAGGAUGGUCUUGAUCUGACCUCGUGAUCCGCCCGCCUCAGCCUCCCAAGUGCUGAGAUCACAGGCGUGAGCCACCAUGCCUGGCCGCAUUAGUAAAUUUUUUAAUGAAUGGCCUUAACCAGGAGAUACAGUAUGCUCUUUGGAUUGUGUGUCUUUUAUGAAUAGUAACUAAAUGGCUGCUCUGCAUUCCAUAGUGUGCAGACAGACACUGAUUGCUAUGUAUGUUUGUACCCAUGACAAUGCCCUGGAUGAUACCACAGAUAACACCCUAUAAAAGAACAGUGUUUGAAAUAUUUUUCAUCAAAAUGUUUUAUCCAGUUUUUAAACAUGGGCUCAUGCCCAUGGCUGAAUGUAAGUGGACAGAUAGAGCUGCAAAAAUGUGGGAAUGAGAAAUUUUGGUCUGUGCGCUCUUUUUCUUAGGGAGUUAAUUGUACCUUGGGAGGAAAUGAUUAGCUCUUAGUUGUGCUUGACACGUGAUAACUGCUUGAGGGAAAGGUGAGAGGAGUCUGGUAAGGUCAUGGGAAUCAUCUGACUUUGAGCUCUUGAUGACUAUAAUUAAACAUAAUUACUAAUUUAGAUGUCUUAAAAUGACUUCCAGAUGCUUGACAACAGACUUUCCUUUUAGAUGAAAAUCCUCUUGCAUUUAAAACUUAGGUUCUUACUGAUAUAUCUACCAGUAAGCACGUACUGACUUGAUGUUAUCACAUUCAGCAGUAGGCAGUGAUAGAAAAACGUGAAUCUUAAAAAGACCUGUAACAGCAGGAAUAUCCUUUUGAAGAAACAGACAAGACAUGGGUUCAGUUGUUCUUACCAGAUCAACUAUUUGGCCCCAUUGUAUUACUCGAUAUCUAAGCCUAGUUCUAAAUAUCUGUUGGAAUCCGCUCUUUUGGUAAUAACACCCUGCCUGGCACCUUUCUGGAGGUUCCCCUCCUCCUACAUUUCAGUUGCCUUUUUGGGUGGAGUAGAAUUAUGAUUUGCCUUGACCUGGCAUGUGACUCUAGCCUCUGAACCACAACACUCCCUUGGCCACCGUGAUUAGUUAAUGAAGUAUACAUGUCCCAUGGUAAGUUGAAGAGAAUUCUGAAUUCGUAUCACUUUGCUUCAUCAUUUUGACUUUUGCACAGUUGAAAAAUUGUAAGUAGGCUGGCUCACACCUGUAAUCCCAGCACUUUGGGAGGCCGAGGUGGGCGGAUCACUUGAGGUCAGGAGUUCAAAAUCAAUCUGGCCGACACAGUGAAACCUCAUCUCUACCAAGAAUACAAAACUCAGCUGGGAGUGGUAGCAGGCACCUAUAAUCUCAGCUAUUUGGGAGGCUGAGGCAGGAAAAUUGCUUGAACCUGGGAGGCUGAGGUUGCAGUGAGCUGAGAUCGCACCCCUGCACUCCAGCCUGGGUGACAGAACAAGACUCUGUCUCAGAAGAAAGAAAAAGAAAUCGUAAGUUGAUCUAUUAUAAGUCAGGGACAGUCUGUACUCUUAAUACUAAGAGUAGCACCAUACCAGGAUCUGGCAUGAGACUGAAACCAGAGCACUUACAGUUCUCUGGCUAAAACAUUUGCUCCCUACUGUUGAAUGUUAACAAUAUCAAGUCAGUUUCUGGAAGAAAAAUUGUGAAAGAUGCUCUCCCUUCUUCUGGGAUCUCAAACUUAGACCAUGGCCUGGGCUGUCUGACUGCAUGUUACUAUAUUUCAUCAAUUCUAAAAAUGUACAUUUUUAUUUUGCAUUUAACAAAUCUUUCAGGGUGUCACUUAUAGUCAGUGGCAUAUUAGCAUGACCGUUGAUAGGCAGCUUUUUUUCUGAAUGAUAGAUAAAAUAAUGGUACGUCUUAAAGUCAAAGUGUCACAGUUGGUAAAAUGCAGUUCCAUCUUUUCCUCUCAAAUGUUUCUCAGUCUGCAUAAGCCUGCUUUGCUUUUCUAUAGUAGCUUUUCACCCCUCAAAAGUUUUCUUUAUUGCUGGACCCUCCUACACAUGAUCAGGGUUAGGAUGAGGUGUUUUCUGCUACAUACUUGCAUAUAAGUCACACCCUUUUAGAAAAUGAAAGUCAGUUUAAAUUAAAGGCAAUAUAAAAUAGUGGUUGGGAGCACAGGCCUGGAACCACAUUUGAAGCUUGGCUCUGUAGCUGGAUGAUAUUUGUAAGUUACAUACCCUCUCUGCUUCAUUUUCAUCAUUUUUAAAAUGAAGAUAAUCAUACUUCAUUGUGUCUUUGUGAGGGUUUGGUUCCCCUCCUUGAGAUUUUCUCAUAAAACAUUUCAGCAGCUUCUGCCCCUACACAUAGUCACAGUUACACUUUUAAACAUAUAUUGGCUGAGACGUCACAUAAGAACACCUAUAAAUUCAUUACCACUUCAAAAUAUAUUUACAAUUUUAAACAUCAGCAAUAUACAUUUGAAAAAUAGUCAAAACAUGAGGCUUCAUUCCCUUGGCAGGGGGUGCUUGGGCUAAGGUUGGGUUUGCAGGCUCCUUGUAAUCAUUUCUGCCAACAUAGAGUAGGAAGCAAAAGGUGAAAAUACUUAUACCAAAAUGGGCUUCUUUGAAAAUACAAAUAACCCUGGUGGAAUAGCACCACUAGCUGUUGCCUGUCAUUAACACCUUCCUGUGAAGUCUGUCAACUUGCUGAGGUUAGAGGGCAGAGAGCUACACAGGUUAACAAGGGAGUUUGUUUCUUGGGGCAGGAGAAAGGGGUGAACUGAACUCACAUACCUGGCCUGCUAGAUGGAGGGGAUUCAGUUGUUUGGCGGUCGUGGCGUCCAGAGAUGGAAUUUGGGUCAGUGCCGAGGGACAAAGUGGAUUAACCCCAGGUGAUGGUUUUGUGCAGGAACUAGCCUUUGAGUUGUUGGGGAACUUGGACAUGAUUUGGCUUCUGUCACUUGCUAGGCAGGUGAUCAUGGUCCUCAUUUUCCCCGUCUAUAAAACAAAACCACCUGCUUCAUGCGCUCUCAAUUUGCCAAGGGUUUUUUUCUUUUUUUUGAGACAGAGUCUUGCUCUGUCGCCCAGGCUGGAGUGCAGUGCCGUGAUCUCAGCUCAUUGCAACCUCCGCCUCCCGAGUUCAUGCCAUUCUCCUGCCUCAGCCUCCCGAGUAGCUGGGACUACAGGCGCCCGCCACCACGCCCGGCUAAUUUUUUGUAUUUUUAGUAGAGACGGGGUUUCACCGUGUUAGCCAGGAUGGUCUUGAUGUCCUGACCUCGUGAUCUACCCGCCUCGGCCUCCCAAAGUUCUGGGAUUACAGGCAUGAGCCACCGCACCCAGCCUGCCAAGGAAUUUUUAAACCAUAAGCUUCUCUACAAUGUGAGGGGUCGUUGAGAGCAGCACCACAGUGAAAGCUCUAGGUGUGUGUUUUCAGAAGAUCUGGCUUGACAAAUUGGCCCUGGUUCUGACCAGGUAUGUGAACAAGUCACAAUCUUUAGAAACCUCUAUUUUCUUAUUUGUGAAAAUAGGAAUCAUACCUGAACGUCUCAGGAGGCUGGGGUCAGAAUGAAGUGAGACCGUAUGUGAAGAUGCCUUGUAAAACUUUGUGUUGAUGACUCCCCAGAUGGUUCCAAAUAUUCCUUACCUCUUUUGGUUCCCGAGUCACAGGGUUGUAGUUUACAGAUUAUAAAGAAAAAAACAGACGAAAACAAAAAACCUCUACUACCAUUAAGUAAAAUUAUCCAAAGUGUAGAAAUAAAGCAAAAAGGUUUGUCCCAUUUAAAGUCAUAUUAGGGCAUGGUCUGCAAAACCACAGGCUGUUUGACUUUCUAGAGGGGUGUGAUUUUGUUUGACAUGCUAUUCUAUUAGGGCCUAGACUCUGGGAAGGAGGAUAAUGCUGAGUAGAAUAUUAGUAAGUUGCCAAUGAUUUCUGCCCAAUAGUAGAGACAGCUCCAAAAAUUACAGUUUUAUUGCCCUAUUUAUUACCUGGUGUUAAUCUAACUGCAAUCUUAUUCCAGUAGACUUCCUUUUCUUGAAAUGGACAUCCAGAAAAAUGUACAUAUAUAACUCAGUCCGCUGUAUUCUCCUUUGAACUAGUUUUACCUGCUUGUUUUCUCAUGAAUGAGUUACAUAAAUUUUUGACAUAUAUUUUUGUGAGAAUUGUGUUUUUAAUAUUCUAACAUCACAAAGUAGCCUUUUGUUUCUCUAUUGCACUUUAGAGGUAAUUGUUAUUUAGCCGCCUUUUUGUGCAACUAAUAUGGUUUGGCUUUGUGUCCCCACCCAAAUCUCAGCUCGAAUUGUAAUCCUCACGUGUGGAGUGGGGUCCUGUAAUCCCCACGUGUUGAAGGAGGGAUUGGAUCAUGGGGGUGGUUUCCCCCAUGCUGUUCUUGUAAUAGUGAGUGAAUUCUUGUGAGAUCUGAUGGUUUUAUAGGGGGCUCUUCCCCCUUUGCUUUCUCCUCUCUCUCCUGCCACCAUGUAAGACAUGCCUACUUCCCCUUCUGCCAUGAUUGUAAGUUUCCUAAGGUCUCCCCAGCCAUGCAGAACUGUGAGUCAAUUAAACCUCUUUUCUUUAUAAUUCACCUAGUCUCAGGUAGUGUCUUUACAGCAGUAUGAAAACUGACUAAUACAAAACAAAACCUAAGAGAUAUAUUUACUCCUUUUAAAAGUUGGCCAGUUGAUGUCCAUUUCCCAAGUAGAAGAACAAACUGUUUCCAGUUACCAUUUGUUGUCAGCUGUGGUCAUGAUGUGACUGUUCUGUGGAAAACGAUUCUAUAACAUUCAGAUUGCAUUUUAGGUUUCUUUUGUUUUAAAGAAAGCUUUAGAGAUUUAUAAUUUUAGUUACUGAAUAACAUUAAGUCUUCUUACGAGUUUGAGAUUUUUAAGUGAAAUUUUAUAGUUGAGGAAAGCAUGGGACUGAUGGAAGAAUUUUUCAUUUCUAAUUAGAAGACCUAAAUGAAGUAAUUUUGCCCACUAACAACUUACUUGAGGAUUGUUUGAAUCAAGGAAAGCUGUGAAGAAAAAGCAGACAACCCUAUGAAAAAGUUUAUUGUUAAGACCUAGGUGGUCAAAAACCAGUGAUACUUCCAUGGAAAUGAGCGUCAAGUUAAAAUACCUCUGGAGAAAUUCCUUGAGGCAAAGUUUUGCCAGGACCAGAAGCAUAGUCAGAAAAAAACAUGACAUUCCAGCAAGUGACGAGGAUUAAAUUUGCAGCCCAUAUUUAAGUCAGUCAGCAAUAAAAAUCAAAGAUGGAAAAGAAAAUAGCCAUGUGCCUAUGUGUAAUAUUUCAUUGCAUGUCUGUUUCCUUUUUUCAUACAAGAUGGUAGCUUCUCUCUAUACACAACUUAUAAAUUUUAUGUCCCCAUGACCCAAGGGAUUCUUGCUUUUUCCCUUUCAGUGGUACAAAUGCUACCCACUGGUUCCAUUCUCUGCCUCUUGCCUUCCCUGGGGUGUGCCAGGGACUUGGCUAGUGAUGCAGGGUGAAACAAGGGGAGAAAGAAGAACAGCAGUUCAGGGGAAUAACCUCUAGUGACUUAAGCUGAGAGAGUACCCACCCCUUCUCUACUAAGGCUGCAGUUGGGGAGACCUUUCCUGACUUUUCCCAUAGAAAUGGGUAAUACCUUGUGGUUUGAUUCUGUCAUAUUCUACAAAUACUACAUUUGGGAUAAGGCAAGAGAUAAUAAAAGGCUUUUGAAGGCUGGCCUAGAAAUCAAAGGGUUAUAAUGGUAUAGUGAAAAGAUCUGUGGAUAGAUAACAGUUGCAGUCCCUACCCUGCCAGUAACCAGGUGAUGACCUAAGCUGAGUUAUUUAGUCUUUCUGGGUCUUUGUUCUCUCCCCGAUAAGAGGAGGGGCUUAGAAUACAUCAAGUGAUUUUCAGAUAGGUUCCUUGAGGCCCCAGGGCACCCCAAGAUGCCUCUGGAGCUGCAAUUGAAACCGCCUUUGCAAAGAUGACAGCGAGAGAAGUCUAGCAUGGCUGUCUCCAUCUUGCUUCUAGCCUCACAGGCUGGCUGUCUUCACUGUUUCCUGAGCAUAGCCCAAGCUAACUGUAUUAGGGUUCUCUAGAGGGAUAGAACUAAUGGUAUAUGUGUGUGUGUGUGUGUGUGUGUGUGUGUGUGUGUGUAUACACAUGUAUGUGUGUAUGUAUACACACACAUGUAUGUGUAUAUAUAUAUACAUAUAUAUACUUUGUAUCCUUCAGUCCAAUCAAGUUGAUACUCAUUAACCAUCGCACUAACCAUGGGAGGAAUUUAGUGUGUGUGUGUGUGUGUGUAUAUACAUAUACACACACAUAUAUAUACAUACACAUAUAUAUGUGUGUGUGUGUGUGUAUAUAUAUAUAUAUAUAUACGUGUAUGUAUACUUUGUAUCCUUCAAUCCAAUCAAGUUGAUACUCAUUAUUAACCAUCACACUAACCAUGGGAGGAAUUUAGUUUAUAGUUUAGCUUUAAAGCAAGGAUAAUAAUAGUCCCUCCCUAAAACUGGCCCCCUCCUCCUUAUUCAGGGACUGAAGUUGUCUGUGUAAAACUAAAGAAAGGCCAUAAGAUAAGGAUUAUAGAAGGGGCCUGAAUUCUGCUAAAAUGUAGGUGUACUUUCUGUAACCCCUUACUGCUCAGCAGUUAUGUCGCCAGAGGUCACAAGGUUUGUGACUUCCCUGAGUGCUCCAGUAGCUAACAUCCCUACUGUAGAACCUAAGAGUGGUCAUUUGAGAUGGUUUUCAGAUUUUUGCGUCCUGGCAAUUAACUGACCCCACCUGUACCCACGACUCAUGACUCAACCAGUCCUGUGGCCCCCACCCUGAGAUGGACUCAGAACACAAGGACCGUUUCCCACGUGAUUUCAUCCCCCAAACAAUCAGCAGCACCCAUUCCCUAGCCCCUUGCCCAUCAAAUUAUCUAUUAAAACCCUAGCCUCCAAAUUCUCAGGGAGACUGAUUUGAGUAAUAACUCCAGUCCUUCCUCUUGGCCAGCCUUGCAUUAAUUAAACUACUUCUUUACUGCAAUAAUGCUGUCUCAGUGAAUUGGGUUUAUCUGUGCAGCAGGGAAGAAUAACUCAUUUGAAGAUUACAUUAUGGGCAAGAGCAGAUGGGACUUUUGACCUACUACCACCUGGUCUCCAGCCAGAGCAGCCACACUUGUAUCUGUUCAAUGUGUUCAGAUCCAGAGUGAGAUUUCUUUUUGUAACAGGGUUCUGCCAUUAAGAACAAACAAACCAAAGUUAGAAGACCACUGAUCAAUGUCAUCUCCAGUAUUUCUUCUACAGUUGGUGAUUGCUUGAUUGCAGUGACCUGCAUUGUGUCCUCCAUGCUACAGGCAAGCAGUGCUGGGAAAGGAAGCAUUAGGCUGGAGGUAGAUUCCUCAUUAAGCCAAUGAGGCUUAAGUAUCACUGCCCCUCACUUGCUGGGCAUUCCAAAGCCCACUACCUAAUUGUGUGUUCACAAUUUAAUGGUUUUUUUCUUAAUAGGGGAUCCUAAGUUGUACAAGCCUCAGGUCCCAUGAGCCCUUGAUUCUCCCUAGCAUUAGCCCCAAUGCUUCUUAAUGUGCAGACACCACUGCAGACCUGUCCUAAGUGACCUGAAAACACAGUCUUAGAACGUAUCAGCCAUUUGGAGUGGGGCAGGAGUUGCUUUGCAAGCUCAACCUAAUCAAAUGAUGGCAAAACAAAUGUUACAUUACUCCUGCUAAUGAGGAACAGAUAUAAGUGUCAGUUAUUACUCAUUUUUCAUCUCCACCAAAACUUUUUUAUCAGAGUAGCAUAUCUUAGAGGCUAAGAAUGCAUGCUUUGCAGAUAAACCACCUGGGUUGAAAUUCUGCUUUAUCACUUCCUAGUUAGGUGACGUCAAGCACAUUAACCAAUCUCCAAAAACCCAUUUUUGUUUGUUUUCUGUUUGUUUUUUUACUCUGUAAGAUGAGAAAAACAAUUCCCCAUGGAGUUAUGAAGGUUAAAUAAGAUACUAUCAUAAGGAAUUUAACACAAUUCCUGGACAUAUUAGCACUAAGUUUUAGUUUUCUUUGUUACCACUGUUGAGUAAUAAUUUAAGGCAGAAACAACUAGAUUACUGUCUUAGCACCUCAGGAACAGAACCUAAAUUUUUAGCGGGGUGGUCAUGUGCCCAGCUAAAAGAUAACAUUUUCUAGUUUUCUUCACAGACAAGUUUUUGUGCCUGUGAGAUCCAAGAGGACAAGAAGUGCUUUCAGGAAGUCCUGUGAAAUAAGAGUGCUCUUCUCUAGGUUUUUCUCCUUCUUUCUCCUUUGAGCUUGGAUAUGAUGGUUGGAACUCCAGCAGCCAUAUCAUAUCAUGUGGACAAGGUUUGUACGUUAGGGAUGAAGGAAUGGUGAGCAGAGAGUCCAGGUCCCAACUUCGUGGAAUUGCUAUACUAGCCUUGCACUACUUACCUCUCAAAUUCUUUUAUGGCAGUGGUUCUUAAAUCACCUGGAGGGCUUAUUAAAAGAGAUUUCUGUGCCACACCCCACAGUUUCUGUUUUAGUAGGUCUGGUUUGGAGCCCAAGAGUUUACAUUGCUAACAAUUUCCCAGGUGAUAUGGGUCAUCCUGGUUCAAGGACCAUAUUUUGAAAGCCAAUGUUUUAUGUGUUAGAGAAAUAAACUUCUCUUUUGUUUAA